rnacentral:rRNA from 1 species
UGGGGAAUAUUGGACAAUGGGCGCAAGCCUGAUCCAGCCAUGCCGCGUGAGUGAUGAAGGCCCUAGGGUUGUAAAGCUCUUUCACCGGAGAAGAUAAUGACGGUAUCCGGAGAAGAAGCCCCGGCUAACUUCAUGACAGCAGCCGCGGUAAUACGAAGGGGGCUAGCGUUGUCCGGAAUUACUGGGCGUAAAGCGCACGUAGGCGGAUCGAUCAGUCAGGGGUGAAAUCCCAGGGCUCAACCCUGGAACUGCCUUUGAUACUGUCGAUCUGGAGUAUGGAAGAGGUGAGUGGAAUUCCGAGUGUAGAGGUGAAAUUCGUAGAUAUUCGGAAGAACACCAGUGGCGAAGGCGGCUCACUGGACUGGUAUUGACGCUGAGGUGCGAAAGCGUGGGGAGCAAAC